UCCAUGGACUGAAACCUUUGGAAACGUGA
rnacentral:piRNA from 1 species